CCUACGGGUGGCAGCAGUGAGGAAUAUUGGUCAAUGGGCGCGAGCCUGAACCAGCCAAGUAGCGUGAAGGAUGACUGCCCUACGGGUUGUAAACUUCUUUUAUAAAGGAAUAAAGUGAGGCACGUGUUCCUUUUUGUAUUUACUUUAUGAAUAAUGAUCGGCUAACUCCGUGCCAGCAGCCGCGGUAAUACGAAUGAUCGGAGCGUUGUCCGGAUUUAAUGGGUUUAAAGGUAUCGUAGAGGGGUUGUUAAGUCAGUUGUGAAAGUUUGGGGCUCAACCGUAAAUUUGCAAUUGAUACUGGCAGUCUUGAGUACAGUUGAGGUAGGCGGAAUUCGGGGUGUAGCGGUGAAAUGCUUAGAUAUCACGAAGAACUCCGAUUGCGAAGGCAGCUUACUAAACUGCCACUGACAUUGAUGCUCGAAAGUGUGGGUAUCAAACAGGAUUAGAUACCCCAGUAGUC
rnacentral:rRNA from 1 species